rnacentral:rRNA from 1 species
UACGUAGGCAGCAAGCGUUGUUCGGAGUUACUGGGCGUAAAGGGUGUGUAGGCGGUUUUUUAAGUUUGGUGUGAAAUCUCCCGGCUCAACUGGGAGGGUGCGCCGAAUACUGAAAGACUAGAGUGCGGGAGAGGAAAGUGGAAAUUCCUGGUGUAGCGGUGAAAUGCGUAGAUAUCAGGAGGAACACCUGUGGCGAAAGCGGCUCACUGGACCAUAACUGACGCUGAUGCACGAAAGCUAGGGGAGCAAACAGG